rnacentral:rRNA from 1 species
AUGUUGGUUAGAUGGUUGCUCCAUUUUCUAGCCGUAAUGGUCCUCGCCGUCCGGGUCGACCUCCUCGGGUGCGGGGUUCUGUGGUUGGUCGCCCUGGUGCUUCGGCGGCGUCUACGGCAGACCCUCGGCUACCUCCUCGGGUGCGGGGUUCUGUGGUUGGUCGUCGUGGUGCUGCGUCGGCGUCUACGGCAGAGCCUCGAGUCACCGAUGCUCAUUGCGUGGGGCUGGUGGUUCUUCGGCUCAGUUUUCUGCUGCCUGUGCACGAUCUGGUUUGUCUCUCUUUCAUCUUUAUUUUCUGGUGGUUUUCAGUGCGUCCUGCCGCUCGAGGUUCUGCUGCAUUAA